AUGUGAAGGGCCGGCCCUGUCAAUUUCAUACAUAAAUAUUGGAGAAUAUUUUCCCGGAGGAGAUGAUUAUUAUAAUCACACUCUCUACGAAAUCUAUUUACAAUGUGUAUCCUAGAUAUACGAACGAAUCGAAUUUGUCGAGCAUGAAAAAUGUCUCAUAAAUUUUCUUUGCAACGUCGAUUCGUUGCCGUUGCGAUCGUCGAUAAUGUUCUCAGUGCAUCUCUUCAUAAAUAAAAUCAGCAUAAUGUAUUGCAAACUGAUAAGCUCAAAUAUCUAAAAUAAAAAUAUUACAAAAGUCAUUGAUAAAGGGAAGAAAAUGGAAUUAAGUUACCAGUUUUGAUAAAAAAAAAUUAUAUCAAUGACUCACGUUGUCCUGACCAAAGAUUAUUUAAAGGUUAUAAAUAACCUCACAAUAUUCCUAAAGAUACAAUAUGAUCCUUUAGAAUAGACUACACACCAAUUUCCUUUUCGUUUCAAAUGUUCGAUAACUUUAAAUUCAUAGUUAAAUACUUUGAACAAAGAUGAAACUUUAUUUACCGACCCAUCGCACAGUUGAAAUUUGUAAAGUUCCGCCAUUUACGGGAAAAUAAUCAUUACUUCCGGUUCAUGAAUAUAUUUAAAAUAUAUUAGACUCUAAAUUGACUAGACUUUUUAAGGAAAAGUUACUUUAAAUAAUUUAAUAUAAUUGAAGUUUAUUUAAUAUUUGAUCAUUUCUAAGGAUAUAAAUUAAAUAAUACUGGUUCGAAUAUCAAAAUGAUCAAUUGACAGUAAGAUGGAAGGGAAAUUGAAAGAUGCAAUCUGAAAUAUUGAAAUCAUAAAAAAAUAUUCCAGAUAUUAUAACGUUACCGAAGUAAAUUCAAUACUACUGAAUGAAGUUUGCAUUAUAGUAAUAUUAUGGACGGUUAUCCAGAAAAAUCCUGCAUGCGGAAUGGCGCGAUAUUCAAAACGCGAUAGCGCAGAAGUUGAAGCACUAUAUAACUUUGUUACCUUGAUCUGCUAGUUAUAACUUCCAAGUCGCCAAACCUAACGGCGCUCUCGAUAAGGCUUGGAAACGCAUAAAAGAUUGCCGAGCAUCCGUUUUCGAGUUAUGAAUGUUCAUCGUAGAAGAUAAUAUGCUUGCACGCAGCCGCGUAACAAAAUUAUUAAUAAUAUUAUAAAGUUGAAAAUUUAUAAAAAAUUUAUAUUCAAGGAUGCUUCAAGAACAAUGUAAUUUAAGAACAAUCUGAUUUAUUGGAGUGAAUCAUAUAUGUAUUAGGAACAAAAAAAGUACUUGGCAUAAUAAUAUUUUUAUUGAUCCAAUAAGUUUUAGAUAAUUAGAUUAAUGUUCAAUGUAGGUAAAAGCAUCCAUUAUUCAGUUUAUAUGGUAUAAAAAUCUCAAAGUUGAUCAGAUCUUCAUAUAACACAAAUUAUAUUAAUAGGUACACUGUGACACAGUGAAAAAUAUUACUUAAAAUGUAAAACACUCGUGCAACACGUAUCAACACAAAACAUUUAACAAUUUGUAUAGUCUAAAGCAGGGUUUCCCAAACUAUGUUCCUAAACCUAACCUAAAUAGGUGUUCCGCGACAAUUUGGAAAGUUUUGUAUUUAAAAAUAAUUACUAAAUAAAUAAUAUGUUUUAGUAACAUUUUUUUUAAUUUUUACUAGUAGAAAUUACCCAACCUAAAAAUUAAGCUAAGUGUUCCGUUAAAAUUUCCGGGUUUGCGAAGCGUUCGAUUGCAGAAAAAGUUUGGGAAACUCUGGUCUAAAGAGCCGCUGAAAACAGUGGAUAUCUUAUCGAAAGAUGCAAUCACUGAAAUACGUGAUUCUACGUUUGUUUGAAGGAAUAUAAUAAUGCUUCGUCGGUCUUUGUAAUUGCAAAAUAUUCAGAUACGUGGUUUUACAAAUUCCCUUAUCAAUUUUUUUUUUUUUUAACCACGGAGGGCAACACGGAAACGAAACGCGCGUCACAAUCCACUCAGUUCAGUUUGGAUUACGAAAGGGAUUUCUAUACAGAAUUAUUGUAUGCCAUUCAAUUCUCUGUAACACAGAAUUUCAUCAAACCGAAGCUUGUAUUUCUAUGAACGCGAAAACAUAUAUAUAUGUUUUCGGUAAUAAGAUUACCGCUCCCUUCGUUUCGAACAAAAUGAAAUAGAUGACCUUGGUGGAAGGUCAACCGGCAAGUUUCGAGAUACAGGGAAUUUUUCUUCGUCAAGAAACUCGACUGGAGUGAUUAAUGCGAUUAUGGAAGAAUCUUUAGCGUUAAUUUUAUGGAAAUUCUUAAUGAAAAUCUCAUAAAAAUGUUUAUCUUUUUAAUGGAACUCUUAUCUCAUUUCUUACUAUUUCAGGCUGGUUUAUGGAUGGUAUAUAAAACUGAAAAUGUUAGAGACUCCCUAUAUUUGUAGGAUCAACUUUCUGGAGAACUUUGUUGAAAAAAUUGAGUUAUAGUCAGGGUGGUUCCAGAAACUGUAAUCUAAUAUACACUUUCUUCGAGUUAUUCAAGAGAGAACAGAAAAAUAGCAGAAUUAAAAUUACAUAAUGUCCCUAGAUUGCGCCACCCUAGAAAGACAAAGGGACGCGAAACGUAUCCCACAUUCCCAAAAAAGGGAAAAUUUAGGAUUAGGAUUAAAAUUACAUAUAUUUUUUGUUGAAAAUAUUAAAUACUGAUUUACAAAAUUUACUUAUGUCUUCUCUGAAAAAAUAUUGAAUUCCAAUGAAACGAAAUUUUAUCUUUCGUCUCAAUGAAUCUUUUUGAAAGGUAAUAUAGGAAAUCUGCAUUCAAGGAUUCCUCGAGGCAGGGGAAGGGAUGUAUGCGAAGCCUAACGUGUGCUGUUUACUUUGAAGUACUCGAGCAACUAAUUGCCAUGACAAAGGGAGGGAAAUGAAACCGUGCGUGUCACGCAGAAUCAAAUUGGGAUCGCCUGAUUAUUAGAUCCGGCAACUAUAAUCGUAUCAAAAAACAUACGGAAGAAAAAAUUACAUUAUCUGGAGUUCCAAUUAAAAGGAUAGCAUUGAACACAAAUAUUAUUACAAAACGAUCUGUUCAUUAUUCAGUGAUUAAUCCCUUGCUCUGACGAGUCUCCAAACCAGUUGAUUAAACGUGUCUGAGAAAUGAUAGAGCACCUUACCUGUUGCUGAUACUGCUGAUAAUCAGUGUUCCCUUUGAUCACGGCGGAAACAACGUUCGAG